AUAUUUGACAAAUUGAAAAUAAUCUCUGAAAACAAGCCCAUCGGUGCUGCACUCAGGCAGGUUUUGUUUAAAAAAAGCGAUUUUUUGGCUGCGUGGUUUAAGUCUCUCAGAGAGUUCUCGGGCUCCCCUGCUCUCCGUUUGAAUUUGCAACCCGAUAGUUUCGUUUUGACGAGCUGCAGGAAGCCUCACACACCACAAGAUGUCUCAGCGAGGAAACGCAUUUUAUACAAGUAUUUUUUAAUAAUAUUACUCAAUUUUCCGGUGUUUUUCUCGGGUUUUCCUUAGUGCUUGACAGGGGCUUUUCAGCAGCACACGAGGAAGCCAAGCCUGUACAAAUUUACCCGUUAGCGUGGGCAAUAAAUGGGUAUUUUAAAUAAUCAAUGAUCCAAAUGACUCAGUGGAAAACCUUAAGCGUCAAAAAGAAAAGGCUCAAGAGAAUUCAAGCUGUGUAAAUACUGAUGGGCGCAUAAGAAUUGCGUGACCACCUAUAGACAUUUUAGGUAUUUUGCCACAAUCUGGGUAAUACAAGGCCUAGAAACUUCUCAUUGGCCGGGCAAAUAAAAAAGGAUCGAACAAAGUAAAAACAAGUUAACAAAAGGUUAAAACAAAAGUAAAAACCCAGAACAAAAUGAUGAUCUUUGCACCAAUGAAAGCACCUUGUAAGGCAGAUGAAUAAAUAUGAG